GCCCUGAAAGAUAUACUGCAUGCAACUGAAGGCAAAGGCACACACUAGGGCUGUCCCCAAUACCGCUUUCUGGGCUUCGGUAAGUAAUGUUCGAAGGUAUUCGAAGCUUCUCUUUGCGGCGCGGCGCGGCAGGCUGAACUUUUCUU